GGAUUGCCAGGAGAGAAUUCCAUUAUUUUCUUGGUUCUGGGAUUGCCAGGAGAGAAUUCCAUUAUUUUCUUGGUUCCAGGACUGCCAUGAAAGCAUUCCACCGUUUUCAUCAGUUCUAGGGUUACCAGGGACAAUUCCCUGUAUUUGUUGGUAAUGUUUGGGGAUCUCAGAGACGAAUUCCUGCCCUUCCAGAUGGGGAUUCAUCCCCAGGAGCCUGAAGCUGCCUGAGGUCUGGAGGGAUAAAUGUAACAUUCCAUGGAAGCUCCCUGUUCAGUACAGGGCACCCCAAACAUCCUUUUUGUUGGGAAUUUGGAAUUUUCUGGGGCAGAAAGCAAAGUUUUCCUGAUUCUGGUGGGGAGUGUGGGAUAAUUAGCAGGGAAUUGCUUUUGAACUGUGUUUGCACACGUGGUCAUUGCCAAAAACCCAGGUUGGGAACAACAUCCUGCAGCAGUGACAGGACAGGUGGAACUCAGGUGGAACUCAGGUGUAACUCAGGUGUAACUCAGUGUUUGUGUCCUGCAGGGAAUGAACUCCUCGAUUUUCCUCACCUUCCCCAGCACAUUUGGCUGAUUUGUUUCCUUUCCAAAUGAGAAUUUCUCUUCUUGCAGGGAGAACAGGAACCCUCACACCUCCUGGGCAGUGCACCUGAGGGCGACCUGGUGAGAUGUGAUGGAAAUGACAAUUUUGCCACGAUGAACACGGGGGCAGAACUUCCAGCACCAGCAGGGCCUGGUUUUCCAAACAGGCUGAGCUCCAGCAUUUGCACAGACACCACAAGAAGAAAAAUAAGGAAACGCCACCAGAAGGUUCUGACCCCUGCUGGGCCCUACUGGAGAGCACAGAACUUCCCUUAGGAGGAAGAGACCUCACCGUGAGGGGAGCGUCGGCUCCAGAACUGAAAAAUCCCCAGCGCCGCAGGGUCCGGCACCCACCGGCACCUCCCCGGCACGGCAGCACCUCCAGCAUCCCCUCCCUGCGCAGGGACACGGCAGGAAUAAUCCCAGGGAUCAUCCAUAUCUCGUCUGGCAGCGGGGAUGCAGCAAAAACCUGGAUGCAGGCUGGUAUCCGCCUCUCUGGCAACCUUUCCGCAGCAUCCCCGGCGCUCGGCUGCGGGCAGAGCUAAAUCCUGGAGCAGAGUUCAUCGCUGCAUCUCCCUCAGCAUCAGCAUCACGGCAUCCUCCUCGCUGCAGAAGCCAAGGGAUAAAGAUGAAAGAGGAUUUAGCUGAGAGCACUGACAAUGGUGAGGGGAGCUCUGCUUGUCGGGGUGAAAAAAGCGCCGAGAACCUGAGGUUUGAGCAGAGAAAAGAAAGGAAAAGCAGCUACUGUGGGUUUCCUUUCAGCAAGCUGUCAAUCAGGGGUUUAAUGAAGAAACAUUGUGCCUCUUCUGUUGGGGGAAAAAAAAUGGAGACGAUGUCAAAACAACAGGAAAGGUCCAUUUACAACCACUGACCUAUUAACAAUUGAUCCAACUCUGUCACGGAGUCCUGGCUGGGAAUGGGUGCGUUUGGAAUCCCACAAAUUUCAGGCUGCUGUUCACUCCCAAACACGCCAUCAAUUCCCAUGAAAGGGGAGAUCUUAAGUGCAAUCCAAGAAGAGGAAUUCCCUGAGACAGGGAGUUUUUGCCUCAAGGUCAGUGUGACCUGAAGGUCCAACCUCAGGCAGCUCAUGUGGGCGGAGAACAGCAGGAAUAAAACAAGAGGAGAUUCAACGCCA
rnacentral:lncRNA from 1 species